CAACACUGCCGUGUGAAACGUUCCUAAUAAUUAUAUUUUUAUAUAAAUAGGUAAUGUGUGUUGUUCGACAAUGCAAUAUAAGUUUUCUUGUUGGUCAUCGAGCAUAUACGUGGUAUACGAGUAAUAAACAAACAUGAAAUUCAUCUGGUUGAUAACAGUAAUAGUGGCGGUGUUCUUCUGGCCUCUCGCAUCUGCUGAUACUACAAGUAAGAACUGUAUCUGUCUUGAAGAGUUCGGUCCUGUUUGUGCCACCAACGGCAAAACAUAUGGCAACAAAUGCUUCAUGAAUUGCGAUAAGGCAACAUUUUCCCAUGAUGGCCCCUGCUAGUGCUGUGUUGUGACUUUUUCCACUAAAUAAAUGAACUGAAAUUGCAA